AUUGAACGCUGGCGGCGUGCUUAACACAUGCAAGUCGAACGGUAAGGCCUCUUCGGGGGUACACGAGUGGCGAACGGGUGAGUAACACGUGAGUAACCUGCCCUUGACUUUGGGAUAACAUCUGGAAACAGGUGCUAAUACCGGAUAUGAGCUUGUCCUGCAUGGGAUGGGUUGGAAAGCUCCGGCGGUCAUGGAUGGACUCGCGGCCUAUCAGCUUGUUGGUGAGGUAAUGGCUCACCAAGGCUUCGACGGGUAGCCGGCCUGAGAGGGCGACCGGCCACAUUGGGACUGAGAUACGGCCCAAACUCCUACGGGAGGCAGCAGUGGGGAAUAUUGCACAAUGGGCGGAAGCCUGAUGCAGCAACGCCGCGUGCGGGAUGACGGCCUUCGGGUUGUAAACCGCUUUCAGCAGGGACGAAGCGUGAGUGACGGUACCUGCAGAAGAAGCACCGGCUAACUACGUGCCAGCAGCCGCCGUAAGAC
rnacentral:rRNA from 1 species